rnacentral:rRNA from 1 species
UAUGGCGACCGGCGCACGGGUGAGUAACACGUAUCCAACCUGCCGAUGACUCGGGGAUAGCCUUUCGAAAGAAAGAUUAAUACCCGAUGGCAUAGUUCUUCCGCAUGGUAGAACUAUUAAAGAAUUUCGGUCAUCGAUGGGGAUGCGUUCCAUUAGGUUGUUGGCGGGGUAACGGCCCACCAAGCCUUCGAUGGAUAGGGGUUCUGAGAGGAAGGUCCCCCACAAUGGAACUGAGACACGGUCCAA